rnacentral:tRNA from 1 species
GCCUAAAUUCCUUUAACACA